rnacentral:lncRNA from 1 species
GAGACUCCACCUCAGCCACAGGCAGUCGAUGUAGUCCACGUGACCUCACUCCUACGGAUCGCCAUAGUAGUCGUAGUCAUCACCUUCAUCUUCAUGCAACUCUGUUGUCAACAAAAUUAUUGCCAUGAGUACAUUACGUACUUAACAUGCCUCCCACGGGGAAGGACCUAAUAGCUACAUGUGGCUUCAAAGGAAGGCUAUAUGGAUCAUUUGCAUAAAGCUAAUUUUUUCGACAAAUAAAGCAGUUGGAUAAAAGUAGUUUUAGAUGAAAACAUGUUUUAUCUCCAGAAUAACUUUCAUCAAGUGAGGAUCCUCGAUCAACUCACACUCUUCAUAGGUUCCAAGAAUAGGGACAAAGAGGGAAUAAGCAAGACAGGUCCUGUACGUCAAGAAAGAUUUAUGUGUAGCCCUUGACCGUGGACACAGCUAUUCGAAUAGUUUUACACUCUGCAGAGGUCGUACACUUUACCCACACGACACAAUCCCGACUUGUUGCCACCAGUGGCCGCUGGUAUAGUACUCCAUUUGGUGUACCGGCAGGGGGAUUGUGACGAGGUCUUUGGACUAAAUCCCCCAAAGAUGUGACAUGCCCACCGGGUCUGGCGCACGGAACUGAGAGUAUGUCCUUAAAUCGGUCCCCCCAUCUGUGCCGAGGACACUCCUCGCAAGGCAGCUAUCCCAUCUGCGGUACGGCGACAUCGACACCUAAGGCUGACUAGCUUACUUGACCAAGCCAGUGCCCAUAUAGCAUGUGGCUGUACUGUUAUCACAAUCUUCCAAUCCAAGACUUAUUAGACCUUAAGCAGCACAGACGACUGAUUACCCCCUUCAACUUGUGAAGGGCAGCCAAUCGCUCCUUCAAUCCUUGAUUCAGCUAUCGCCCGCGCCAGUAUACAGAUGGUAAGUUUCACCCAGAGUAGAAGAGAGUAGAGGAUAUCAAUAAGGCCAUCUGGCCUAGCUCAGCGGUAAGUUUCAAUUGUCAAUGACUCAGAUGUCAUUCAACAAAGCACCUAUAGGGUAAUAAGCAUGGCUAAGCAUUUCUACUCUACAAGAAUACUAUAAUUCUACUCAGGUGUCAAAUGAAUAGGCAACAAGUGGAUCAAGGUAAUGUGUCAAUCGACACGCUAGCUACGAGAAUUAAAAUAGCAUGCAUAUAAUAACCAUAAAACACAAUGCAAUUUUGUAAACAUAGGAUAAGUAUGAUCAAAGAAGGAGGCAUGCCUUCGUUGUUGAGUCCUUCUUCAGUAACCUGUUCUAUCCAUGUCCAACAUCGAUAUUGUCACUCCCUACUCGUCGGAACGACAGCAAAAGACAAACAAUAAAUACCAAAGCAAAAGUAAAUCCAAAUAACAUCCAAAACAAUUUAAAAUUGGAUGGACAACAAGAUAUUGAUCAAGAUGGAGACUUUGAAAUGAGGUUGAUUAGGAUGUAAGAGAAAGGAUUCAUUGAAGUGACAUGGUUGAGGUUGACACAGCUAAGAAAUACUUGGCGAUCAAGACUAAGGUUCCAAUACGAAUAUGCAAUUAAACACUAGUAGUGCCCACUACACAUCUCGACAAACUAUAUAGGAAACUACUAUCUAACAAAACCAAUGGCAUCAACACACAUGAAAAGGAACCAUCCUAUGCAUUUAACCACACAAUUACAACAUGACAUGAUGAAGGUAAAAGUCAAAUAAAUAUUUAGACAGAACCUAAAUAUUUAUAAUGGUCAAUAGCAGACAAACAUAUGCAUCAACUAUAUAAUAAUUCCAAACGAACAAACAUUACAAACCAUACUAGUUAAGCAAUAAAAUAUCAUUCAACAACAUGAGUUGAAAUGAUCUAGGUCUAGCCCAAAAAAACCAUUAAAAUGGAAUAGGGUCAACUCCAUUAUAUCAAACCAAUUCAUUUGUCAAACAAUUAACAAGAAACUAUACAACACAUGGAACAAAUGGAUGCACAACUAUCCUAGGCAUGAUAUGAUUAAGAGUAACAAUCAACCAAGAAUAAAUAUUUGGAUGAAUCCAAAUACUUAUAAUGGUUAACAACAAUCAAAGACUAAACAUAAAUUAUAAAAAACUAUUAGCAAUAAUUUAUAUAAAAGAAGACAAACCAAUACUAAUUAAGGUAGAAACUAAUUUAACAACUUAAUAAUAACACACAUCUCACAUAAUACAUGUGAGUAUAGAUUCACUAAUGUCUAAGAAAAUAACACAAGCAUGACACAUAUGAGUGAUCAUGAUAAGAUAUUAAACUAGAAUAUGGUCUUACUACUAAAGAACAACUAAUACUCAAGUAACCACUAGAAAUAAGAUUGCCACUUCAUGCUUACAUAACAGAUCAAACUAUGCACACUAAGCAUAUGAGGAAGAUACAACUCACUAACAUGAAAGGUAAAUUGUCUUAAGCAUGUGCUAAACUAUCGCAACAAGACCCAACACUCCUGAGGCUACCAUAAGGCCAAAGUGAUCAUCCAUAAGAACGCACAACAGACUAAGUACUCAAUUAUAGCACAUAGACAAAACAAGACAUGAAAGAUCACUUGCAUGAGUGACAACUGACAUAUAACAAUGCAACAACUAGAUAAAGUAGAUAUGAAGAAGUGUAGGCAUACAACAAUGUAAUAGUGAGGUAGACUAGAUAUAAUGCUAAGCUUGGAUGAUCAUGACACAAGAUGCCAAACUAUGCUACCAGUAGAAUACAACUUAAUGACUAUGACAUAACUUAGUUGAUAUCAACUAACAUGACUAUCAAGAAUGGCAUUAGCUCACAACACUAUCAUGUUAGUUGUGACUUAUAAGAAAAAGGGAAAAACAUACUAAGCAAGUACACAUCUAGGUCAUGGCAUCAAUCACAUCAAGCGAUGUGCUAAACUAGCAUGAAUAACAUGAAGACAGUAUUUCUAUCUAGUACAACCUAGACUUUCUAAUACAUAAAUGGAGAACCUAGGCAUCAUACAACACACGGGUCGUUACACACAUUUAUGCAAUCUAUUUAACAAUCCCAACAACAUGGCAUGACAAGCAAAAAUAUUUAAACAUCUAUCUUAGACAAAGCAUGAUUUAAAACCAACAUGUGACAUGGAUGAAAAAUGAAUAAGUAAACCAUAUAUAUGAUUUCGCCAUGCUAAAUAAUAUUAAAUAGUCAAGACAUGAGGUGUUUCAUGACUAGAUGGAUAAGUAAAUGAACACCUAGAACAAAUCUAAAGAAUUAUAAGCACGAUGAAUAUUAACCACAAUGAUGUACACGCUCUCCGUGUAACAAUAAAGAAUACCAAUCAUUACUAAAAUAAUAAUAAUAAGAUUACACUAACAAUGAUCCAAAACUAAUUAAAAUAAUAACACCAAACAAGCAUGUAAGAACAUUAAUAAUCUAUUACAACAAUCAACUCCUACACAUGGUAAGAAUUUGCAAAGACUUGUACAGAGACAUGUCAUAGGACUACACACACCAAAGAAAAAUGUCACAUGGGACAACCAGUUCAACAAUUAUCAAAUAACUAUAAUCGGUAAAUAAAUCCAGCAAGUGACAUGACACAUCAAAAUUACGAGGCGAAUAGAUACCAUGCACUCCUAAGCAUACCAAGAACAUAAGGAAAUAACAAUAUAUUAACAGAAGUUCACUGAUGAAUCCUACACAUAACCAUGCAACACUAUUUUAAAACUAUUGUUUUAAUCAACCAGAGCGGCUAGAUAAAAUCUAUAUUAAAUCUUGAUUGACUAAACAAGUAAUCUAGUAAAUCAAUUGAAACUCUUACGGUUAAGAAAUAUUUAGGAGCGACUCCUAGGUAUAAGUCACACAAGUGAAAAUUCGAAAGUGAAAGAAACAUGCACGUAGUGUAAUUCCCAUUUUACUAGAAUAAUUCCCAUUUUACUAGAAUAAUGUCUAACAAGAUAUAUACGCAAAAUCAAAAACCACAAACGUGUUCCUCUAACCACUUAACAUGUUUCAUCCAUUGGGAUCAAGAUCAAACGAUAAACAAAAACGAUGGAAAUAUGCCUAUAAUAUUUGGUUCAUGCGACGGAUAGCAUCGGCGCGCCCAACAAAAAAAAUAGAAGGAACUAAGAUGUAUAGGAGAUAACACGAGUGAUGUUUGGAAGGUGUGCAAUAGGAAUUGGAAAGUGGUUCACCGAGUUCGACGGAACGGUGCGAUGAACUUGACGAACAGUGUAUACGUACUUGCAAAAUUCUCCGCGUAUGCUCGACGGAACACGUUGUUUCUUCUCUGAAUGGAGCUGCGGCAUGGAGCAGAAUAUUUUGGCGCAAGGACUCGAACAUGGAUCGCCUAAAUCAUCGGGAUAGAGCAUCGGCGUCCAUGGAGCUGCUGUAGUUCAAGGAGAGUUCUUCAAAGAAUUAGGAACAGAUAGGGAGGGGUUGCUAGGGGAUUGGAAGAGGAGGUGGAGGCGCACAUGUAGGUACUCACAAAUUUGGAAACGGUGAAGAACUAAACAAUUUAGACCAGGGAAUGUUUCUCCUGUAGGUUUCCUUUUCCUCUUGUUUGUGUGCAUGUAGGUGUGCGUGGGUGGAGAAAGAGAUGAAGCGCUUGAGGCACGGCUUUGGGAGAUGAAGUGGAGAGAAAUAGGCACAAGGAGGAGUCAAAGAGAUGGAAUUAAAGGAGAAGGGCAGGAGGCAGCAUUCAUGCGUGGACGUUUCACUUCCUGUGAUGUGAGAACAUACACAUGAAGGAUAGAGAAGGGGUUUCCAACAUGGCUGUACGUUGCCUCUUCCGUGCACCUUUUCUCUUUUCUUCUCUGUACUUGUGUGCACGUGUGUGUAUGGACAUGAAGCGCUCCAAUGGUGUGGCUCUAAGAGACGGGCCUAUUUGGACAAAGCCCAUGGGAGGAGGAUGAGAGUAGGGAAACAGAAGAAAAGAAAUACAAUAGAUGGGCUAAGCCCAUUUGACUUGAGAAAGGAAAAGUAAAAUAGUGGGCUGAACUCAGGAAAGAGAAAAAGAUGUUGGUUCAAGUAAAUUAUGUACAUAGUUUGAUAGAAUGAAAAUAAAUUGAUUUCCUCUCCGAAAAAAUCUAGAAAAGGAAUAGAAGCUCGGACAAAAAUCAAACGAAUUUCAAAAGACCAAAGAAAAUUCAAAGGUGCAUAUUUUAAUAUGCCGAAGAAGAGCUGAUUACAAGAAAAGAACAAUACACCAAUUUUAAUUAGGUUCACAUUAGUUCAAAUUAAAUACUUCAAAUUAUAAAAGUCCAAUUUAAGCUUCGUAACCAAAUAGAACAAACGAAAUUUUCUCGCGCUAAUUUUUGGAAAACUUUUUCUUAAACAUUCUGAGAAUCGGGAUGUUACAGAUCUACCCCCCUUAAAAGAAAUCUCGUCCCCGAGAUUUGGGCUGACUAAAGAGAAUGGGUUUGGAUUAGCUUCGUCAUCGACAUAGUUCUUCUCGAAAACUUGUGGAAUCAUUGCUCAUUCUGAACUUGGUGAUAGGUGGCUUUGGGUCUUCAUUGGAGAUACUUCUCUUGUCAUAAUUCUUCUAGGUUUCAAGACUUGUAAACAAUCCUUCGAUCUUGGCAAUGGUAAUCUGAUAGCUUCUGUAACUGGUUGAACAUUCCUCAGCUUGUCCUUCCAUAGGUGAAGCAUUGGUCCGGCUAGACUAAUUGAUCCUUGAAGUUUGAACGUUAUGAUAGGUGUAGUGAAGGUCUUCAAUCUUCGUCUUCCUUGUGAAUGAAGGUCUUCAAAUCUUCAAUCUUGACACAAUCAUUGUCUACUACCCCCCUUAAAAGACGUUUUCCAUAGGGUUCACUUUCAUAAUAGAUCUCUAAGUGGGUUGUUGCAACUUUGUUCAUCUCAAGGUGACCUCUAGGGUUUAUAGAGAAGAGGGAGAGAGCGUGAGAGGAGUAAAAGAAUCCUAAACAAGGCAGAGAUACCCCAAAAGAUACAAAAAAAGAUAACAGUGAGAUAGCCAAGAAGAUAUCCAAAUAAAACUCAAAAGCAACUCAUUUUGGCAAAUAGGGUUUUAGUAUGACUGCAUAGGAAAAGACCAAAAAUAUGCAGACAAUACUCACACAAGAAAGGUUUUGCAUCUACAAGAUACGAACUCUAUCACUACAAGGGUGUUAACCAACCUAAUCCUAUAUGGCAGGUCACAAUAAAUCUUGGGGAAAAUCUUCAACGUUGAUGAUUGCAGCAUGAUCGACGGUCGUUGCCUUCUUGAAGGUCUCGAACUGUCUUCUCUUGGAAAAUGUUGCUACUUAGAGCUUUAGGGUUUGAAGUUUGAAGUUCUUGGCAAGUCUUGAGAAACUUCUGACUUUUUAGCACCAUGGGCAGGGAAAGGGUUUCACAUACUAUAAAGAAGAAGGUAGAGAAGUAGAGUUACACUUUAUUUGAAUAAGAUAACUCAAGAAGAGCAAUAGGGGAGAACAAGAUUACGAGAAUAUUUUCUUUGAAAAUAAUUUUCUUUAAUAAAUAGUUCCUAAGGCUUUCCAUUUCUAACUAAGGUCACGCGCCUAGGUCGACAUCGGCUCUGAUACCACUUCUGUGAGAACCCGGAAUUAACUUCCAGACCCUCCUGUGUAUAUUUGUCAACCCCAGGAUCAUUGUUGAAAACAUAGUGAAAUGAUAUCAUUGCACAAUGCAUAAAAGGUAUUACAAUAUUAAAUAUAUCUUUCCAUAAAGCAUACCAAGAUAAAUGUCUCAUGACACUUAUUACAUUAAGAAAAACAGCGGAAAAGUACAAUGCAUAGAGACUCCAUCUCAGCCAUAGGCAGUCGAUGUAGUCCACGUGACCUCACUCCUACGGAUCGCCAUAGUAGUCGUAGUCAUCACCUUCAUCUUCAUGCAACUCUGUUGUCAACAAAAUUAUUGCCAUGAGUACAUUACGUACUCAACAUGCCUCCCACGGGGAAGGACCUAAUAGCUACAUGUGGCUUCAAAGGAAGGCUAUAUGGCUCAUUUGCAUAAAGCUAUUUUUUUGACAAAUAAAGCAGUUGGAUAAAAGUAGUUUUAGAUGAAAACAUGUUUUAUCUCGAGAAUAACUUUCAUCAAGUGAGGAUCCUCGAUCAACUCACACUCUUCAUAGGUUCCAAGAAUAGGGGCAAAGAGGGAAUAAGCAAGACAGGUCCUGUACGUCAAGAAAGAUUCAUGUGUAGCCCUUGACCAUGGACACGACUAUUCGAAUAUUUUACACUCUACAGAGGUCGUACACUUUACCCACACGACACAAUCUCGACUUGUUGCCACCAGUGGCCGCUGGUAUAGUACUCCAUUUGGUGUACCGGCAGGGGGAUUGUGACGAGGUCUUUGGACUAGAUCCCUCAAAGAUGUGACAUGCCCACCGGGUCUGGCGCACGGAACUGAGAGUAUGUCCUCAAACCGGUCCCCCCAUCUGUGCCGAGGAUACUCCUUGCAAGGCAGCUAUCCCAUCUGCGGUACAGCGACAUCGACACCUAAGGCUGACUAGCUUACAUGACCAAGCCAGUGCCCAUAUAGCAUGUGGCUGUACUGUUAUCACAAUCUUCAAAUCCAAGACUUAUUAGACCUUAAGCGGCACGGACGACUGAUUGCCCCCUUCAACCUGUGAAGGGCAGCCAAUCGCUCCUUCAAUCCUUGAUUCAGCUGUCGCCCGCGCCAGUAUUCGGAUGGUAAGUUUCACCCAGAGUAGAAGAGAGUAGAGGAUAUCAAUAAGGCCAUCUGGCCUAGCUCAGCGGUAAGUUUCAACUGUCAAUGACUCAGAUGUCAUUCAACAAAGCACCUAUAGGGUAAUAAGCAUGGCUAAGCAUUUCUACUCUACAAGAAUACUAUAAUUCUACUUAGGUGUCAAAUGAAUAGUCGACUAGUGGAUCAAGGUAAUGUGUCAAUCGACAUGCUAGCUACAAGAAUUAAAAUAGCAGGCAUAUAAUAACCAUAAAACACAAUGCAAUUUUGUAAACAUAGGAUAAGUAUGAUCAAAAAAGGAGGCAUGCCUUCCUUGUUGAGUCCUUCUUUAGUAACCUGUUCUGUCCAUGUCCAACAUCGAUAUCGUCACUCCCUACUCGUCGGAACGACAGCAAAAGACAAACAAUAAAUACCAAAGCAAAAGUAAAUCCAAAUAACAUCCAAAACAAUUUAAAAUUGGAUGGACAACAAGAUAUUGAUCAAGAUGGAGACUUUGAAAUGAGGUUGAUUAGGAUGUAAGAGAAAGGAUUCAUUGAAGUGACAUGGUUGAGGUUGACACAACUAAGAAAUACUUGGCGAUCAAGACUAACGUUCCAAUACGAAUAUGCAAUUAAACACUAGUAGUGCCCACUACACAUCUCGACAAACUAUAUAGGAAACUACUAUCUAACAAACACAAUGGCAUCAACACACAUGAAAAUGAACCAUCCUAUGCAUUUAACCACACAAUUACAACAUGACAUGAUGAAGGUAAAAGUCAAAUAAAUAUUUAGACAGAACCUAAAUAUUUAUAAUGGUCAAUAGCAGACAAACAUAUGCAUCAACUAUAUAAUAAUUCCAAACGAACAAACAUUACAAACCAUACUAGUUAAGCAAUCAAACAUCAUUCAACAACAUGAGUUGAAAUGAUCUAGGUCUAGCCCCAAAAAAACCAUUAAAAUGGAAUAGGGUCAACUCCAUUAUAUCAAAUCAAUUCAUUUGUCAAACAAUUAACAAGAAACUAUACAACACAUGGAACAAAUGGAUGCACAACUAUCCUAGGCAUGAUAUGAUUAAGAGUAACAAUCAACCAAGAAUAAAUAUUUGGAUGAAUCCAAAUACUUAUAAUGGUUAACAACAAUCAAAGACUAAACAUAAAUCAUAAAAACUAUUAGCAAUAAUUUAUAUAAAAGAAGACAAACCAAUACUAAUUAAGGUAGAAACUAAUUUAACAACUGAAUAAUAACACAUAUCUCACAUAAUACAUGUGAGUAUUGAUUCACUAGAUGUCUAAGCAAAUAACACAAGCAUGACACAUACGAGUGAUCAUGAUAAGAUAUUAAACUAGAAUAUGGUCUUACUACUAAAGAACAACUAAUACUCAAGUAACCACUAGAAAUAAGAUUGCCACUUCAUGCUUACAUAACAGAUCAAACUAUGCACACUAAGCAUAUGAGGAAGAUACAACUCACUAACAUGAAAGGUAAAUUGUCUUAAGCAUGUGCUAAACUAUCGCAACAAGACCCGACACUCCUGAGGCUACCAUAAGGCCAAAGUGAUCAUCCAUAAAAAUGCACAAGAGACUAAGUACUCAAUUAUAGCACAUAGACAAAACAAGACAUGAAAGAUCACUUGCAUGAGUGACAACUGACAUAUAACAAUGCAACAACUAGAUAAAGUAGAUAUGAAGAAGUGUAGGCAUACAACAAUGUAAUAGUGAGGUAGACUAGAUAUAAUGCUAAGCUUGGAUGAUCAUGACACAAGAUGCCAAACUAUGCUACCAGUAGAAUACAACUUAAUGACUAUGACAUAACUUAGUUGAUAUCAACUAACAUGACUAUCAAGAAUGGCAUUAGCUCAAAACACUAUCAUGUUAGUUGUGACUUAUAAGAAAAAGGGAAAAGCAUACUAAGCAAGUACACAUCUAGGUCAUGGCAUCAAUCACAUCAAGUGAUGUGCUAUACUAGCAUGAAUAACAUGAAGACAUGUAUUUCUAUCUAGUACAACCUAGACUUUCUAAUACAUAAAUGGACAACCUAGGCAUCAUACAACACACGGGUCGUUACACACAUUUAUGCAAUCUAUUUAACAAUCCCAACAACAUGGCAUGACAAGCAAAAAUAUUUAAACAUCUAUCUUAGACAAAGCAUGAUUUAAAACCAACAUGUGACAUGGAUGAAAAAUGAAUAAGUAAACCAUAUAUAUGAUUUCGCCAUGCUAAAUAAUAUUAAAUAGUCAAGACAUGAGGUGUUUCAUGACUAGAUGGAUAAGUAAAUGAACACCUAGAACAAAUCUAAAAAAUUAUAAGCACGAUGAAUAUUCACCACAAUGAUGUACACGUUCUCCGUGAAACAAUAAAGAAUACCAAUCAUUACUAAAAUAAUAAUAAUAAGAUUACACUAACAAUGAUCCAAAUCUAAUUAAAAUAAUAACACCAAACAAGCAUGUAAGAACAUUAAUAAUCUAUUACAACAAUCAACUCCUACACAUGGUAAGAAUUUGCAAAGACUUGUACACAGACAUGUCAUAGGACUACACACACACCAAAGAAAAAUGUCACAUGGGACAACCAGUUCAACAAUUAUCAAAUAAUUAUAAUCGGUAAAUAAAUCCAGCAAGUGACAUGACACAUCAAAAUUACGAGGCGAAUAGAUACCAUGCACUCCUAAGCAUACCAAGAACAUAAGGAAAUAACAAUAUAUUAACAGAAGUUCACUGAUGAAUCCUACACAUAACCAUGCAACACUAUUUUAAAACUAUUGUUUUAAUCAACAAGAGCGGCUAGAUAAAAUCUAUAUUAAAUCUCGAUUGACUAAACAAGUAAUCUAGUAAAUCAAUUGAAACUCCUAUGAUUAAGAAAUAUUUAGGAGCGACUCCUGGGUAUAAGUCACACAAGUGAAAAUUCGAAAGUGAAAGAAACAUGCACAUAGUGUAAUUCCCAUUUUACUAGAAUAAUGUCUAACAAGAUAUAUACGCAAAAUCAAAAACCACAAACGUGUUCCUCUAACCACUUAACAUGUUUCAUCCAUUGGGAUCAAGAUCAAACGAUAAACAAAAACGAUGGGAAUAUGCCUAUAAUAUUUGGUUUAUGCGAUGGAUAGCAUCGGCGCGCCCAACAACAAAAAUAGAAGGAACUAAGAUGUAUAGGAGAUAACACGAGUGAUGUUUGGAAGGUGUGCAAUAGGAAUUGGAAAGUGGUUCACCGAGUUGGACGGAACGGUGCGAUGAACUUGACGAACAGUGUAUACGUACUUGCAAAAUUCUCCGCGUAUGCUCGACGGAACACGUUGUUUCUUCUUUGAAUGGAGCUGCGGCAUGGAGCAGAAUAUUUUGGCGCAAGGACUCGAACAUGGAUCGCCUAAAUCAUCGGGAUAGAGCACCGGCGUCCAUGGAGCUGCUGUAGUUCAAGGAGAGUUCUUCAAAGAAUUAGGAACAGAUAGGGAGGGGUUGCUAGGGGAUUGGAAGAGGAGGUGGAGGCCCACAUGUAGGUACUCACAAAUUUGGAAACGGUGAAGAACUAAACAAUUUAGACCAGGGAAUGUUUCGCCUGUAGGUUUCCUCUUCCUCUUGUUUGUGUGCAUGUAGGUGUGCGUGGGUGGAGAAAGAGAUGAAGCGCUUGAGGCACGGCUUUGGGAGAUGAAGUGGAGAGAAAUAGGC